rnacentral:rRNA from 1 species
GAUGAACGCUGGCGGCGUGCUUAACACAUGCAAGUCGAACGGAAAGGCCCAAGCUUGCUUGGGUACUCGAGUGGCGAACGGGUGAGUAACACGUGGGUGAUCUGCCCUGCACUUCGGGAUAAGCCUGGGAAACUGGGUCUAAUACCGGAUAGGACCACUUCUUGGAUGUUGUGGUGGAAAGUUUUUUCGGUGUGGGAUGAGCUCGCGGCCUAUCAGCUUGUUGGUGGGGUAAUGGCCUACCAAGGCGUCGACGGGUAGCCGGCCUGAGAGGGUGUACGGCCACAUUGGGACUGAGAUACGGCCCAGACUCCUACGGGAGGCAGCAGUGGGGAAUAUUGCACAAUGGGCGCAAGCCUGAUGCAGCGACGCCGCGUGGGGGAUGACGGCCUUCGGGAUGUAAACUCCUUUCGCUAGGGACGAAGCGUUUUGUGACGGUACCUGGAGAAGAAGCACCGGCUAACUACGUG